GCCAGUGUGGCCUAGUGGUUUGAGUGUCGGACUGUGACUCUGGAGACCAAGGUUUAAUUCCCAGCUCAGCCA